AGUCGCCACGGUAAUACGAAGGGUGCAAGCGUUAAUCGGAAUUACUGGGCGUAAAGCGUGCGCAGGCGGUUCGCUAAGACAGAUGUGAAAUCCCCGGGCAUAACCUGGGAACUGCAUUUGUGACUGGCGGGCUAGAGUAUGGCAGAGGGGGGUAGAAUUCCACGUGUAGCAGUGAAAUGCGUAGAGAUGUGGAGGAAUACCGAUGGCGAAGGCAGCCCCCUGGGCCAAUACUGACGCUCAUGCACGAAAGCGUGGGAAGCAAACAGGAUUAGAUACCCGGGUAGUCCCUGUCUCUUAUACC
rnacentral:rRNA from 1 species